rnacentral:lncRNA from 1 species
CACUAAUAUGAAAGGAUUAUGGUGAAAUAUAAACUUUUAGGGAAGGCAGUAGAAUUGGAAAGAGAAGCAAGUCGUUUUUCUCCAGAGCUACUGAGGCUUGCCAUUGAGUUCCUGCAAGGCAGAGUGAAGGCUCUGUUGCUACCUAGCACUGCCCUGCAAGCAAGACAAGGGAUGAAGAAAAUUUACCUACAAUUAUCAGUUCUGUCACUGCAGACCCUACCUUGUGGACUUCAGAAAAACUAA